UUGCUUCAGCAGCACAUAAACUAAAAUUGGUACAACACAGAGAAAAUUAGCAUGGCCCCUGCACAAGGAUGCCAGACAAAUUCAUGAACCAUUUCUUUUAUUU